rnacentral:rRNA from 1 species
UGCAGUCGAACGAGGACCGGGUGCUUGCAUCCGGAGCCGAGUGGCGAACGGGUGAGUAACACGUGACCAAUCUGCCCUUGGGAGAGGGAUAACCUGGGGAAACCCGGGCUAAUACCGCAUGAUGUGCGGCCAUCGCAUGGUGGCGGCAGCAAAGGGGGGCCUCUAUUUUGUAAGCUCCCGCCCAGGGAGGAGGUCGCGGCGUAUCAGCUUGUUGGUGGGGUAACGGCCUACCAAGGCGACGACGCGUAGCGGGUCUGAGAGGACGAUCCGUCACAUUGGGACUGAGAUACGGCCCAGACUCCUACGGGAGGCAGCAGUGGGGAAUAUUGCGCAAUGGUCGAAAGACUGACGCAGCGACGCCGCGUGUGGGAGGAAGCCUUUCGGGGUGUAAACCACUGUCAGGUGGGAAGAAACACGCACGUCCAAACAGGGCGUGCGCUUGACGGUACCACCAGAGGAAGCGCCGGCUAACUCCGUGCCAGCAGCCGCGGUAAGACGGAGGGCGCGAGCGUUGUUCGGAAUUACUGGGCGUAAAGCGCGGGCAGGUGGUCCGUUAAGUCUUCUGUGAAACUCCGGGGCUCAACCCCGGACAUGCAGGAGAUACUGGCGGACUAGAGACCGGUAGAGGCCAGUGGAAUUCCUGGUGUAGCGGUGGAAUGUGUAGAUAUCAGGAAGAACACCAGUGGCGAAGGCGGCUGGCUGGGCCGCGUCUGACACUCAUCCGCGAAAGCGUGGGGAGCAAACAGGAAUAGAUACCCUGGUAGUCCACGCCGUAAACGAUGGGCACUAGGUGCCGGUCCCAUAGACGGGUUCGGUGCCGGAGCUAACGCAUUAAGUGCCCCGCCUGGGGACUGCGGCCGCAAGGCUGAAACUCAA